GACGAAGGAUGCAAGCGUUAUCCGGAUUCAUUGGGUUUAAAGGGAGCGUAGGUGGCUUUGUAAGUCAGUGGUGAAAUCUGGCAGCUUAACUGUUAAAUUGCCAUUGAUACUGCAGAGCUUGAGUACAGAUGCCGUUGGCGGAAUAUGACAUGUAGUGGUGAAAUACAUAGAGAUGUCAUAGAACACCGAUUGCGAAGGCAGCUGACGAAACUGUAACUGACACUGAGGCUCGAAAAGUGUGGGGAUCAAACAGG
rnacentral:rRNA from 1 species